AGCUGUGUGGUGAGCACAAAGCGAACUAUUUUUUUUGCCUUUUAUUAAAGAAUAUAUAGUGUGCACGCCACAAUAAGCAGCAUACGCUAAUUUUUGGAGGAUGUCAUCUCUUAGAGGAGGU
rnacentral:snRNA from 1 species